rnacentral:rRNA from 1 species
GCCGCGUGCAGGAUGACGGCCCUAUGGGUUGUAAACUGCUUUUAUACGGGAAGAAACGCGCCCACGUGUGGGUGUCUGACGGUACCGUAAGAAUAAGGACCGGCUAACUCCGUGCCAGCAGCCGCGGUAAUACGGAGGGUCCGAGCGUUAUCCGGAAUCAUUGGGUUUAAAGGGUCCGUAGGCGGGCCUGUAAGUCAGGGGUGAAAGUUUGUGGCUCAACCAUAAAAUUGCCUUUGAUACUGCAGGUCUUGAGUCAUGGUGGGGUCGCCGGAACAUGUGGUGUAGCGGUGAAAUGCAUAGAUAUCACAUAGAACACCGAUCGCGAAGGCAGGUGGCCAACCAUGUACUGACGCUGAUGGACGAAAGCGUGGGUAGCGAACGGGAUUAGAUACCCCGGUAGUCCACGCCGUAAACGAUGGAUACUAGCUGUGGGGACUUCGGUCUCCGUGGCCAAGCGAAAGUGAUAAGUAUCCCACCUGGGGAGUACGUUCGCAAGAAUGAAACUCAAAGGAAUUGACGGGGGCCCGCACAAGCGGUGGAGCAUGUGGUUUAAUUCGAUGAUACGCGAGGAACCUUACCAGGGCUUAAAUGCAGGCUGCAUAAGCUAGAGAUAGCUUUUUCUUCGGACUGCCUGCAAGGUGCUGCAUGGUUGUCGUCAGCUCGUGCCGUGAGGUGUCAGGUUAAGUCCUAUAACGAGCGCAACCCCUACCGUUAGUUGCCAGCAUGUCAAGAUGGGGACUCUAACGGGACUGCCGGUGCAAACCGUGAGGAAGGUGGGG